CAAUCGACCACUUGAUCCUUAAUCAUCUCUGCUCGUCCUUUCAAAAUGCGAGACAAACCUGGAAAAAAAAUAAUACAUAGCUCUUCAGAUAAUUAGCAAAAUGUUCAGGAAAUUACAACAGAUGUUU